AACGAACGCUGGCGGCAUGCCUAACACAUGCAAGUCGAACGAGACCUUCGGGUCUAGUGGCGCACGGGUGCGUAACGCGUGGGAACCUGCCCUUAGGUUCGGAAUCACUCCCCGAAAGGGGUGCUAAUACCGGUUAAUGUCUUCGGACCAAAGAUUUGUCGCCUUUGGAUGGGCCCGCGUUGGAUUAGCUAGUUGGUAGGGUAAUGGCCUAUCAAGGCUACGAUGGGUAGCUGGUCUGAGAGGGUGACCGGCCACACUGGGAAUGAGACAAGGCCCAGACUCCUACGGGAGGCAGCAGUGGGGAAUAUUGCACAAUGGGCGGAAGCCUGAUGCAGAAACGCCGCGUGCGGGAUGAAGGCAUUAGGGUUGUAACCCGAUUUAGCCGGUGACGAAGCGUGAGUGACGGUAAUGGGUAAAGAAGCACCGGCUAACUACGUG
rnacentral:rRNA from 1 species